CAAUCCCUUCUCCCCCAUAAUCUUAUUAUAUUAUUUCGUGACAAUAAUUUCUAUGCUACACUAAAUUACAAUACCGCUCAAGUAACCACUUAUCUCAAUUUUCCCUUCUAAGAUUUAAGAAAUAAUACGCAUGAAAUUAAGAAAAACAACUUACAAGUGUAUACUAUAUACUAUAUACAUACACUAGCUCUUUAUCAGAAAUUCCGUUAAAUAUUAAAUAUGAAUAAACCUAAAUUUCAAUUGAUACUAGUUUUGAGAUACGCUGUUAAGUAUUAGUAGCUCUUAGUGAUGAAAGCUAGUAUACCAACGCGUGUUACCAUUAAAAAAGUAUGGGAUCGAAACAAGCCGUAUGAAAAAGCUUCAAGUGGCUCAGCCAGUAAGGAGGAACGUUCAGAAUUUCCCUGUGUGAUAAAAACUGAAAACUAUCGGCCAAAAGAAAAUAGUGGCCAAUAUGAACCGAAAGGAUUGAGCAUGAAGUUAGCCGUAAAGUUCAAAGAACUGCUGAAUACUGGGGAUGAAGAAUUCUUUAAUUUUGACCCCUCACAAGCAAACGGACUAUAAAGCAAACUACUCACUAGAUGGAGCAACUAAUGAUGCCCACAAAUAAGUUACAAGUAUAUGAAGAAUUAAUGAAUUACAAAUAAUCAACAAAAAAACUCUGGAAAAUUCCAUAUAAUAUUACGGGUCACCGCAAUAGAACAAUACAAGUUCGCAAGGCGUGACCGCGAGGCGUGACUAUACACCAUGGCAUGGUUCAAGCGGUACCAGUGCGAUAUGCUACUCGACAUUUGAACGUGCAAAUAUAACCAUACACCGCAUAAUGCGUGGAAACGCUAUUUUUGUCCCAAUAACAGUAAAACGACGGCGAAAACCGACAAUGUUGGUGUACCGAUUUGGACCUGCACUAAGGAUGUAAUGUUUAAACACAACGUGAAGUGAAGUAGUGACGUAAUCGUGUCUAUCGUAUUUAUUAACUAAAGGCAAUAAAUAUUUAUGUUCGUCUUUCUUCUUGAUUUAACGACUCUGAUAAAAUAUACUUUAAAACUGUAAA